CCUACGGGUGGCUGCAGUGGGGAAUAUUGCGCAAUGGAGAAGAACUCUGACGCAGCAAUACCGCGUGAGCGAAGAAGGUCUUCGGAUCGUAAAGCUCUGUUAUCAGGGAAGAAGAAAAUGACGGUACCUGAUGAGCAAGUCCCGGCUAACUACGUGCCAGCAGCCGCGGUAAUACGUAGGGGACAAGCGUUGUCCGGAAUCACUGGGCGUAAAGGGCGCGCAGGCGGUGAUUUAAGCAGGAUGUGAAAGGCUACGGCUCAACCGUAGACAUGCAC
rnacentral:rRNA from 1 species